rnacentral:sRNA from 1 species
AACAAGAGAAAAAGAAGAAGAAAAAAAGAGC